UACAGAGGUGGCAAGCGUUGUUCGGAAUUACUGGGCGUAAAGGGCGCGUAGGCGGUCCCGUCAGUCCCUUGUGAAAUCCCCCGGCUCAACUGGGGAACUGCAAGGGAUACAGCGGGGCUUGAGUUCGGGAGAGGGAAGCGGAAUUCCGGGUGUAGCGGUGAAAUGCGCAGAUAUCAGGAGGAACACCGAUUGCGAAGGCAGCUCGCUGGGACGUUACUGACGCUGAGACGCGAAAGCGUGGGGAGCAAACAGG
rnacentral:rRNA from 1 species